rnacentral:rRNA from 1 species
UACGAAGGGGGCUAGCGUUGCUCGGAAUCACUGGGCGUAAAGGGUGCGUAGGCGGGUCUUUAAGUCAGGGGUGAAAUCCUGGAGCUCAACUCCAGAACUGCCUUUGAUACUGAGGAUCUUGAGUUCGGGAGAGGUGAGUGGAACUGCGAGUGUAGAGGUGAAAUUCGUAGAUAUUCGCAAGAACACCAGUGGCGAAGGCGAGUCUCUGGACAUUUCCUGACGCUGAGGCACGAAAGCCAGGGAGCAAACGGG